UGACCAUGUUUGAUGUUUCUCACAAAUUUCUGAAAGAAAAAAGUCAAAAGUCAAAAGUCAAAAGCCAAGAAACAAGUCACCAAAAAAACAAUAUCUACAAAUGUGAAUCGUUGCACAACGUUGCAAGAUGGUGGAAAGAAUUUGGUGUUAUGUGGUUCAUCUCUUUCUGCAGAACAAAAGUUUACGAUGGUUGACUUUGCGAGAACUAACGGAGCAUUAGUGUCAAAGUACUGGAAAGAUAACGUCACACAUGUGAUCGCUGCCACAGAUGCAAAUGGCGCAUGCACAAGAACAUUGAAAAUGGGUUGU